AGUGAACGCUGGCGGUAGGCCUAACACAUGCAAGUCGAACGGCAGCACAGUAAGAGCUUGCUCUUACGGGUGGCGAGUGGCGGACGGGUGAGGAAUACAUCGGAAUCUACUUUUUCGUGGGGGAUAACGUAGGGAAACUUACGCUAAUACCGCAUACGACCUACGGGUGAAAGCAGGGGAUCUUCGGACCUUGCGCGAUUGAAUGAGCCGAUGUCGGAUUAGCUAGUUGGCGGGGUAAAGGCCCACCAAGGCGACGAUCCGUAGCUGGUCUGAGAGGAUGAUCAACCACACUGGAACUGAGACACGGUCCAGACUCCUACGGGAGGCAGCAGUGGGGAAUAUUGGGCAAUGGGCGCAAGCCUGAUCCAGCCAUACCGCGUGGGUGAAGAAGGCCUUCGGGUUGUAAAGCCCUUUUGUUGGGAAAGAAAAGCAGCAGGUUAAUACCCCGCUGUUCUGACGGUACCCAAAGAAUAAGCACCGGCUAACUUCGUG
rnacentral:rRNA from 1 species